UAGUGAGAGUAAAGUGUGCAGGUGCGCCCAGGGCGCUGAGAGUGGUGCGCUGGCCUGGGGUGUGCGCCUCGCUCCUCUCAAUGUCGGAGAGAGAGAUACAACCUUCCACCUCUGGGGAAUUCCGGUCCUUUGGGGCCGCAGAGUUCCGGGCGGCACAGGAUAUCCGAGACGGGCGGUGGCGACGUCUAACACGGGAGAGUCGUCCUCUCUCCGCUCCACCCCCCACGCCAGGGUAGUCCCUUCAGGGCGUGUAGUGUGCAGUCGUCAGGGUGCCAGCCUGCCGCGGACCCCGCCCUCCGUGGUGACCCGACUCCAAACUCGGAGACUUCUUUCUAAGAGCCACACCACCAACGUAACCUUGAGUCCUGGAGGUCAAUGGUGGGGUACCCCCGCCUCAAUUCUUUGACACCCGCCCCCCAUCGUGGCUAGGGCUGAGAGACUGCGAAGAAGAGGCCUGACCAUGGGUCCUUGCACGAGAUAACGUUUCAGGCUCACUCAGGCCCCUUCUCCACCCUCCCUCACCCCGCGCCAUCCCCGCAGUCUUGGUAGCCGGGGUUACUCCGGGCUGCUCGCUCGAAUUUAUUGGAACGCCGAGCCGGGACUGACCGGCGCGGGGAGAAUGGAGAGAAGGAGUGAGAGAGAGGGGGCUGCUGCCUGUGGGAACACCGGCUCUUCCAGGGAAGCGGAGCGGGACUGCCGCGUUCCCCUCGAUUUGCACCGUCACUCUGGCUGUUUGGAAGGAAGAGGGGAGGCGCUGUGCGUGCCUCCGUGUACCUGGAUCUGAGUGCAGAAGUGUGUAUGAAUGCCUCUGCCGCUGUGUGAGUUGUCAGGGCUUUGGGAGCGUCCGGAGCGAGUUCGGGGGUCACCUCCAAAAACUCGCAGAAACUGGAAGCGGGUGAGAGGAGGACACAUCCCCUUCGUAGGAAGGACUUGGAAUACUUUGAAUAUCCCCUCCCCCACUUUUCCGCCCCGGCUCUUCUUUUGUUGUCAAGUCCUUUUGAUAAAUGGUGGUGCUGGGAGCGCUGGGGAGCCUGGAGCCAGCCUGUACCCGCGCGGGGGCGGGGGCCGGGCCUGGAGACCCGGUUUCCACUCGUGCUCAGCCGGCCCUGAGCCCCGUAGGCGCGGAAGUCGGGUCUGGGACCUGCCCUCGGCGUGCUCGCCCUCUCCUCUCUCACCACCCCAUUCCUCUCUCCCUCAUUUUUGUCUCUGUCUCCCACUCCGAACAGGUUGGUAGACUUCAUGAGAUGGUAACCUGUCUAAAGAUAAUUUGGAGAAGAGGGGAGUGAGGCGCUGUGUAUAUGGGGAGUUUGUCGGUGUAUGUGAGCGUGUGUUUAGGUGUAAUAACACACCUAAAUUCGAGGGGCUUUGCAGUGUCUGCCUGUGCGACAACGGAGGAAGGUGAGUCCGUGAGACGGUGGUGAGGCCACAAGCGAGGUUGUGAAGGUUGUCUGAAUAAUCUUUGGGGAGCGAGUCCCAGGUGCCCGUUUCUGAGGACGGGACGGUUCUAAGCUGUCUCUGCAGGGCAGACACUGUGAGGCCGCCUGUAUCCUGCGGGUCUGUUGGUGUAUGUCUGUGUCAUUGGGUGCAUGGUUGUCGGUUGUUGGCCCAGAUCAACUGUGGAUCUCCCAGCCAUGGGACCCGUGUCGCAGCGGCCUCCCGGUGAGGCCCGGACACUGAAUGCUGGGGGCGUCGGCCAGAGAUGCAGGUGACCGCGGGCGUCCCUCCCUACCCCUCGCCCUGCAGUCUCCAGACUCAGUCCAUUCCCUCUCCUGUAAUUCCAGCAGCUUUCUUUUUACGCCCAGCGGCUGGGGGAACCAGAGACUGGCCCCAGCGUCCCCCGGAAUGGGCGUGCCGCGGUGUGGUCGCACACGCUCGCAGGCCUGCGCGGUGUAGCGCGGGCGUGGGUCUCAGUCCGCGUGCAUUCGCUCUUCACAAAAUCCGACUCCGAAGGUCCGAGCGCACGGGGGCGCCUAGGGGUCUGCGCGCCCGGGGUUUUUGGUAGGCGCCAGCGUCCGAGCCUGCCCAUCUCGAGGGGGAGGCCAAAUCCCCGGAGGCCGCGCAGGCCGUAGGGGUAAGGGAGUUAUUAAUUCCUAGGUCUAAUGCCGCCAACCCCCAGCGGCGACUGGCCUGGAUGUCCUGCGGAUUUUAUUUGCACACAAUGGAAAUGAUUUGUUUUCUCUAAAAAAGGAGUGGGCAUGGCAGAUAUUUGAGGAGGGGGUGGGAGGAGAAGGAAGGGGAGAGAGCUGAGGAAAAAAGUUUGAAAAUGCCUUGAACUAUUCACUGUCGAGAUGGCUAAUCAGUAUUGAGGCCGGAGGGCAGGCGGGCCGCCUUUCACCGCCGCUUCCCUUUCAUCUCGGGCUCGGCGGAGGCGCUCAAUUAAAAGCCUAUCAGUUUGUAAGUAAAUCAACGCCUAUCAGAGUUGUCACAUCAAACAAAACGAUUAUUAUUGCAGCCCGCCUCCCCUAUUAAUCUCCCUCGAAGAUAAUCCGCCUGACAGGUCAGGCCCGGCGAGCUGGAAAGCCUGGCCCAGAGCGCCCAAACAGUCCCGGACUGGCGCGCGCCCCUUGGGGCACCCCCUCCCUCCCUUCCGCCCCGCCUCGUGGUCCCCCGGGAGCUGGGAGAGAAAGGGCGAGCGGAGGCCGCUGGACCCAGGCCUGCCCCUCCGGACUGGGAGCCGGGCCCAGAUUCGAUGGGCUGGUGGGGGACGGUGCCGGGCGGCACUCGCCUCUUCUGGGACCGGGGGGGUACCAGGCUUGCCAGGACCACAGCCUGGCCUGGUCCCUGGGCCUCGCCAAGGCCUGCACUCUUCUCGGCUCGCUUCCCCUGGUUCUUCCCCACCCCCCCCACCCCCCCUACUCGUUUUUGUUUCCUCUCCCGCUUCUUCCUUGGCCCCCUACCCGUUUUCUUUCUUUCCCCCCUCUUCAUUUAUACUUUUCCUACUAGCCAGGGAAUAUUUCCUAUUCUCUUUUCCUUCUCUCACUAUACUGUAUAUACCACUUCAGCGCAACCACACUCGCUGAACAGGGCAUUCUCAGGGCCCGGGUUACUUCUCUGCGGCAGGGCUGCCUCAGGAGUGUGUGCAAUUCCCAGGAACUAAGGACCAAGUCCUUCCUAAUUUCUCCCCACGCAGGGGUUCUCAGAAGCUCUACGCCUGUUUAAGGGUUGGGUGCGUUUGGAGGGGUGAGAAAAAAAGAGAGACCAGGUCAGUGAGAUGGGUGGACGGUCGCAAGCUGCCUCUUCUGGAAUUAGUAUUUGAUCUUGGAAUUUCACAGCUGCAAAGUCACUGACCUAGCUGGUGGCAUUGCCUGGGCUUUGCAAAUAAGCAAGGGAGACCCACGAGGCAUCUGGGCCUCGGCCCUGAGUAUGUGAGGGGGUGCCUAACAUUUCAUAAGUAAAUACACCCAGAUAACUGCUUCUAUAGCCUCAACGGGCGUUCGGAGGCCCGGGUGGGGCCUGGAUUCCUCACGGGUGUGAAAUCGUGGCCUUCUUCCCGGUGGCCUCCGGCUUUGAGCUUUGGGAUGCUUCGGAAUCAAGCGCGAUCCACCCUUUUCUGCGCUCUUGCUCCAAACCGAUAGGCCCAAAUGGUCACAGCUCUGGCCUUGUGGAGCCGGGAUUGAGGGGUGGUUGAAGUGUCUGAGGGGGAGCGACUGCCCGCAGGAUCUCAGGCCUUAGUACCCUAAAUGCUGGGUUCAGCGCCUCGGAAAGUCUCCCUCUCAAUGUGUGUAGGGGGGAGAACCCUCAAGGUCCAGCAGUGUUGGCUGUCCGGGCCGAGCCUCUCCCAGUAGUCACGCCAGGGUCCGAGGCAGCAGAUAUGGAAUAGAGCCCACUUCAGAGUGCUCGGCGCCCGGAGCUGCAGAACCCGUGGCCCCUACCACGCAGUCCCGAAAGCCCCCCAUUUGUGUGCACUUUCCAUAGCCGACCUAGUAGGAAUAGUUAUUUCCUUACCCAGAAAUAUUGUAGCGGUGCAGUGGCUUAAUUAUCUGCGCGCCAGCUUUUCUUAAAUGUAUUUAUUUCACUUAUGCCACGCCGCGGAUAUUUAAAGAGGUACACAUACCGCACACCUCAACGAUGCGGAACUCACUCUGGCUAUAGGAUAUAUUUGCUGGGUGGUUAUUUGGACAUAAGUACUGUCUCGAGCCCAGAUUACACCCAAGCAGGGGCUGUAAAAUGACACUUGCUCUAGAAUUUUUCCAACUUAACUAUAUGUGCACACACUGAGAAUUUAAUAGUAUUUUAUAUCCCUCUACAUAUCUAAAUAUUCAGAUGUUAUGUUACAUGCCCUUGAAGCCGGAAGCAAUCUUCCGUUCACACUGGACGUGGAGCUGUUUGUAUAAUUUUCAUCUCCCUGCACUUACACAUGAAUCUUAAUCUAAUAAAUUCAACCUUGUCAUUUUUAGAAUCGACAUAAUUUCUCUGGCUGCGGGUUGCGCUGUCUGUAUCCGAAUAAAUCCAGCUCGCAUUCGUCCAGCAGGAAACGGCUCCCGGUUCCCGUGUACGGAGACGCAUCGGCCCAGCACGGGACGCGAGAUGGCUCCUCGUGCUCAUAAGGCGGCAGGUCUGGCCUCCGAGGGAGGCUGGACUAUCAGCGCGCUCAGGCCGAGCAGCCUCUCGCUGCCCGGCAGUGCCUGGCAGUCGCCCGCCUCUGCCUGUGCUUCGGGAACCCGCCGGGCCGAGUCCGUCCGGGGCGAAAACUGAAAGCAAAUUCCACGGCAGAUGAAGCUCGAACUUUCUACGAAGCAAGUUUGCAGCAAAGAUUCGGUGGUACCUUUGAGAGGACAGCGCGCGCAAAGUGGGGCGGUGGGCGAAGAGGGCACCGGAUGUCUGAGCUUGGUCCGCGGCGAAACGAGAGGGAAGGCGCCUCCCCUUCCUUAUUUCUCGCCAACUCCUCGGCCUCUGUCCGUAAAAAUAGUUUCCAAGGUGCCGCGGACUCCCAGGAUGUGGUUGUGGGAAUCGCACCAGGGAGGAGGCGGCUUUGUAAAAGUUGCAGAAAAAGCUUUACCCAGAAGCGUGCGUCCAGCCGGGCUCAAGAAAGCUUGGGACCAACUCGCCUUGCCCCGGGCAGAGGAGCCCCCUGGAGAGCCCCCUGCCCAGACCUCUCCCCUCACCUCGAAACCGCACGUAAAUAACCUCCCGCUGCCUGCCCCGCAAACUUCUCCGCGCGGUGCCGCGCUUGGCGGGCGAGGCCCGGACGCAGAGCCGGCCCGCAAGGCCGCUUGUCGGCCCACUCAACCCAGCCUUGAUACAGGCUUGCGCGGAUGUGAGAGGAUGAGUGUGGUUCCGGCUCCCACUUGGCUGCCCAGACCAUCACCGCCGGCCUCUCAGAGCAAGAGCUCCCCUCGGGAGCGGUGGUCUUGGGGGGCUGACGAGGGCGCAAAAGGCGCGCGCGGGGCCGCGGGGGGGGGGCGGCCGCCGGUCUCUCCACGGGGCCUGUCGCCGGGCCGGCCGCGGCGGGUGAGUGAUGAGGGCAGAGAAGGGCGCCCAUAAAUCGCGGGUGUCAGGGCGAAAAACUCUCUUUAUUGUCUGCGUGAUGGAUGGGCCCGGGGACGAGACACCAAAUACUUCGUAUCGCCUUUAAAUGGGAACACAUUUUCCGCGGCCAUAAUUCAUGUUUUUUAAAUAGAAAGUUUGAAAUGUUGCCUAUAUUUCACCGGCCCUGACAUAUUUAUGAAUCGCUCCCUGCAUGCAAAUAUCAUUAUUUAAAGCGCCGGGGAGAGCUCGAGGGAGGGAGGAGGCGCGGCCCCCGGGGCGUGGGGGUGGUGAACUGGGGAAACGCGAAUGGAGAGGGGGGAUAGGCGCCCUAAAGUGCGGACAAUGAGGCGCGGAGGAAAGCCGUAUCCGGCAGCCCAGCGCACCGGGGGCUCCCCUCCCACCGCCGGACCCCUCACAGCCGCUCGGGGAAGUUUGUGCGGUUUGGGGGUCCCACCCACUGCCAGGAGACCAGGGGGCAUUUUGCGUCCGUCUCCGAGGCUCUGAUCAGAGCCACCUUUUCCGAGAAGGAAGUAAAAAAAAUAAAAAUAAUUUAACAAACUCAAAUAAUAACAACC